UACGUGAGGGUGCAAGCGUUAAUCGGAAUUAGCUAGGGCGUAACGUGCGCAGGCGUUUGUAAGUCUCGUCGUGAAAGCCCCGGGCUCAACCUGGGAAUUGCGAUGGAGACUGCAAGGCUUGGAAUCUGGCAGAGGGGGUAGAAUUCCACGUGUAGCAGUAGAAAUGCGUAGAGAUGUGGAGGAACACCGGAUGGCGAAGGGCAGCCCCCUGGGUCAAGAUUGACGCUCGAUGACCACGGAAAGCGUGGGGGAGCAAACAAGG
rnacentral:rRNA from 1 species